ensembl:lncRNA
GGGACAUCAGACUGAUGGAAGGACUGUCUCUCAGUGGGGGACAUCAGAGUGAUGGAAGGACUGCCUCUCAGUGGGGGGACAUCAGAGUGAUGGAAGGACUGCCUCUCAUGGGGGACAUCAGACUGAUGGAAGGACAGUCUCUCAGUGGGGGGACAUCAGACUGAUGGAAGGACAGUCUCUCAGUGGGGGACAUCAGACUGAUGGAAGGACAGUCUCUCAGUGGGGGGACAUCAGACUGAUGGAAGGACAGUCUCUCAGUGGGGGACAUCAGACUGAUGGUCAUUUUGUUGAAACAGAUAAGAGAGCAUCCUGAAAAAUGGUUAACCUUUCUUCCCCUCCAAAGCAGUGCACUAUAUAGGGAAGAGGGAGCCAUUUGGGACUCACCUGACAGGAUAAGGAAUGGAGCAGUAUCAUCGGCUCCAGGUACACUC